rnacentral:rRNA from 1 species
AAACUUUACAAUGCAGGCAACUGCGAUAAGGGGACAUCGAGUGGCACGCAAUUUGUGUGUCUGUCCACCCGUCUAAAAAACGGGUGUUAGCAAGGGCCGGGCAAGACCGGUGCCAGCCGCCGCGGUAAUACCGGCGGCUCGAGUGGUGGCCGAUAUUAUUGAGUCUAAAGGGUCCGUAGCCGGCUUAGUAAGUCUUUUGGGAAAUCCAGCGGCUUAAUCGUUGGGCGUCCAUGAGAUACUGCUUUGCUUGGGACUGGGAGAGGUAGGAGGUACUCAAGGGGUAGGAGUGAAAUCCUGUAAUCCUUUGGGGACCACCGGUGGCGAAGGCGUCCUACCAGAACAGGUCCGACGGUGAGGGACGAAAGCUAGGGGCACGAACCGGA